rnacentral:rRNA from 1 species
AGUGAACGCUGGCGGUAGGCCUAACACAUGCAAGUCGAACGGCAGCACAGUAAGAGCUUGCUCUUACGGGUGGCGAGUGGCGGACGGGUGAGGAAUACAUCGGAAUCUACUUUUUCGUGGGGGAUAACGUAGGGAAACUUACGCUAAUACCGCAUACGACCUACGGGUGAAAGCAGGGGAUCUUCGGACCUUGCGCGAUUGAAUGAGCCGAUGUCGGAUUAGCUAGUUGGCGGGGUAAAGGCCCACCAAGGCGACGAUCCGUAGCUGGUCUGAGAGGAUGAACAGGCACACUGGAACUGAGACACGGUCCAGACUCCUACGGGAGGCAGCAGUGGGGAAUAUUGGACAAUGGGCGCAAGCCUGAUCCAGCCAUACCGCGUGGGUGAAGAAGGCCUUCGGGUUGUAAAGCCCUUUUGUUGGGAAAGAAAAGCAGCAGGUUAAUACCCUGCUGUUCUGACGGUACCCAAAGAAUAAGCACCGGCUAACUUCGUG